GACGAACGCUGGCGGCGUGCUUAACACAUGCAAGUCGAGCGGUAAGGCCCUUUCGGGGGUACACGAGCGGCGAACGGGUGAGUAACACGUGGGUGACCUGCCCUCAGCUCUGGGAUAAGCCUGGGAAACUGGGUCUAAUACUGGAUAUGACUCCACGGUGCAUGUCGUGGGGUGGAAAGCCUUGUGCGGCUGAGGAUGGGCCCGCGGCCUAUCAGCUUGUUGGUGGGGUGAGGCCUACCAAGGCGACGACGGGUAGCCGGCCUGAGAGGACGAUCAGCCACACUGGGACUGAGACACGGCCCAGACUCCUACGGGAGGCAGCAGUGGGGAAUCUUGCGCAAUGGGCGAAAGCCUGACGCAGCGACGCCGCGUGAGGGAUGAC
rnacentral:rRNA from 1 species